GACGGAGCAAGACCGCGUGCGGGAGGACGGCCUAUUGGUUGUAAACCGCUUUUGAUAGGGAAGAAGUUCUGACGGUACCUAUGGAAUCAGCAUCGGCUAACUCCGUGCCAGCAGCCGCGGUAAUACGGAGGAUGCAAGCGUUAUCCGGAAUUAUUGGGCGUAAAGGGUCCGUAGGUGGUUGUUCAAGUCUGAUGUUAAAGCGUGGGGCUUAACCGCAUA
rnacentral:rRNA from 1 species